GGGGGGAGGGAUGUAAAAGUGGGUCAGGAUGGAAUGUAACCAGACUCUGCCCCUCCUGCAGAUACAGGCUGCUCUGCCUUCCUGUUAUACAGCCGGUCCGCUGCUGCUGCUGCUGCUGCUGGCAUUCCUCUGUUGAUAUUCGCUGAUGGUAACCAGGGGACCCUAAAGGAUGUUUCUGUCAUCCUAGAGAAAGAAAAUGUAGUUGCCAAAGUAACAAAGUUUGGCUUGAAGGCAGUGAUGCAGUAACUUUCUUAGGUUUCAACAGGUUCAAGUUCCACAAGCAGUUUGAAAGGAUGAUAAAAUGUCAAUAAUUAGGGAAGGACUACAUGGGAAUACAAAGUACCAUGGUACAUUAUAUAAAAAUGGCAAGCGGGAGUUAAUUGGUACUAUUAUCUCAUUAUGCAUAUGGAAAGUACACAGAGCCAUCAUAACUUAGUUUCCGGGCUUUUGGAACGCUUAAGUCAAGCAUAUGGAAUGUACAUCAGAGCUAUUAUAACUCCGUUUCCGGGAUUUGGAACGCAAAAGUUAAAGAGGAAGCCACUUCUAGAACCCUUAACCACUUGUUCUGUAACUAGCGCUAAGCGGAAAUACGUCACCCGCAUCACUUCCAGUCUAUGGAACGCAAACUUCCGGUUUCCAUGUCCACGGUGGAACACAAAUCAGGGGAGACUUUUUUUUCAAUUAGGAACUGCAAUUUCCGGAUUAGGGCUUUAAAUAUCAGCCCAGGACAGCAGUGGUUUAUGCACUUGACAAAGGAUGAAGAACAUCUGAAACGCGUUGUACUAUUGAACCGCAUCUCCGUUUGAACUCCUGCUGGAAACCGUCUAUUCCAUCUGGGCCAAGCUUGUGGUGUGUUGCUGGUUUGUCAACCAGCAGCUCCAACAUCUAGGCACACACCACAUAUCCCGCACGUUAUAAAUCAGGAGUAUUGAACAUUUGCACUAUGUGAUACUAGCACUGGAAUUUGGCUAAAAUGUUUUGUCCCUAAUAGGUGUUUGCACUGUGUCACUUUGUGCAAUAUUCUGCUUUUUAUCUUUUAUGUAUAUAUGUAUCUAACAGAAGGUAGUGCAUUGUGUCACUUUAUACCUGAUGUUAAUUUUUCAAUAAAUGUG